GUCCUCGUCGCCAAGCGGCAAGGCAGUGGCCUGCAACGCCACCAGCGUCGGUUCGAUCCCGACCGAGGACU
rnacentral:tRNA from 1 species